CGGCAGGCUCUCGCCCAGUCCUCACGCCCCAGCCUCACUCUGCCCUGCGGACUGGCCUUGGACGAGCUGCUCCCUGCAGACAAUUCCCGGCCCUCCAGAAAUAGUGCCUGAGAAUGUGAAAGAGUGGACUUGGACCGUGAGGGUCACCUCGGGCGCUGGCGGGGCUGGCCUGUCAUCACCACACACCUGCUCCAGCUGGUCUGUCCCCCACAGCGGAGGACCACUUAGGAUGGAUUGAAGGGCCCAAGGGGACCCUUUAUUCCCAGCCUGCAUCUUGAGGGCCUUCUGUGCACGGUCCUAGCACCUCUGAUGAAGAUGGUGAUGACUUCCAUGCUCCUUCACCAACUCCUCCCCUGUGGGCUCCUCCCACCUCAAGGCAGAUGGUGUAGCCAAGAAAGACCAAGGCAGCAGAAGGCAGGUUGGGCUCAACACCACCUGGUUGGUUUCCUCCGCCAGAAUCGUAAAGCCAUCGUUCCAGUGCACACCACCUAGCUUGCUCGGCGUCUGCCUGACACACGAGCCGCUGAACCCUAAGGCUGGGACACAGAGCUGAAGAGUGUCCCAGUAAAUACUGACUGACUGAAUCAAUGAUGAGCAUGCAGCAUGCCACACGCUGUCUGCUCCCUCAUGCCUGAAUACACUUGCACCUGGGCCUUGCAGGAAGUGGGACUCCUCCUACUGCACGGGUCCUGCUGGCAGUGGGGAGGGGUUUGAUUCAAAGGUGUCUGUUGACUGCCAGCUGUCUCUUGCAGAAUCAGAACCUAUUGCUGGUCUAGAGAAGUCUUCCUCCCCUCCUACCCCUUCUCCUCCCCCCCUCUCCCCUCCCUGCCCUUUGCAGAGGCCUUGACUUUGUCUCAGAGCCUCCGUCCUCAUCUCUUCACCGUACCUAAGUCUGUGGAGACACAGUGAAGCGCCUUUGGAGCGGAGCCUGCCCUCCAGGGCUUCUCUGGAGGCUCCACCCCCCCCCCCCCUGCCUCCGCCAUGGAGGACUCUUUGUCCUCAAAGGUCCCAUCUCAUCUGGUUCCUCUGGGUCACUGGGACUCUAUUGGGUGCAGCCUCCCUAGGCUAGCAAUAGGCUGCUCACACCCCUAUGGGCUAGGGUGCCUUUUGGGGCUCCCUUCCCAAGAACUUGGUGUCAGACAGUCAUAGACAGAACACACUAUGUCACCACAUGCCGUAAAAGCAAAGAUAGAACUUUAAAGCUCUGUAAAUAUUUAAAAGUAAUGAAAUUAAACUCUGAUGCUCCUAGGAUGAUAGUAAAUCCCAGGGUGCCCAGUGAUGAGGGCCCUCCAUCCAACACAGUAAAAACGCACACAUUGGACAUUAGAAAUGCUCUGCCCAGCCCGUGAAUCGGAAAUAAAACUAACACACACUGUG